rfam:Dipodomys ordii contig_29286, whole genome shotgun sequence.
GGUGGCUCAGUGGUAGAGUGCUUGCCUUGCAUGCAUGAGGUCCUGGGUUCAAUUCCUCAGCACCA